CUGUGACCCCAUAGGACUCAGCCUAUGAGGAACUGGGGGAGGGACCUGCGCACUAGGGGAUAGUUUGCUUGUUAAAACUGCGCUGGGUGUACCUGCUCAUCAAACACCCGAUCUUGCAAGACCAUUAUUAAAAGUCUCGCUUUUGCUGUUCUUGGAUCUCUGAGUCCAUUCUUUGCAUUUGGAUGGGCAAAGGUGCACACCUGAAAGAACUCUUCAGCUACCGGAUAUGAACAUGAAGGACUGCUGGUACCCACACUCAGUCAAUGACUCACAGGAGCCUUGUUACUUUGGCAAGAAUUCUAUGUUCAUUUAAUAAGUUUGCAGAGACGGACGGAAAUCUGCUUUAUUACUCUCAUCCCUCAGCCCGGAAAGCCAAAUCCUUUAUCAGUACAGCUGCUGCUUCAUUCCACAUGUCUGAAGACACCGCUGUCUCCUCAAUCAGCAGCUUUGGCAGAGAGUCAGGUUCUGGCAGGGGUGAUGUAGAAUGGAGAGAGGUAUUUGCUUACAGCGGGUGAAAAAUGUUUAAGAGAAUAAAAGGAAAACUUUAAACAGUGUCAAGUCCAAUAAAAGAGAGAGGACAUCGGGGGCCAUCCAGCUGCCCACAAUCUGCUCACAGGUAAAGAAAUGGAAAUUUGUCAUUAACAGAAGAUAAAAACAGAGGGUGGAAGGAGGAAAUUGAAGCACAUUCUUGGACAAGAAUAAAAUCAUUAAAAUGUUAACAAAAGGCAAAUAGCACUUUAACCUACCUUUGUCUGCAAUCCAUACUGCUCUGAGACACCUAACACUCAGGUUUGAAGAACUGCAAUCUCCAGUCUGCUGACAUGGGUAGAAUCUCGUUUGUCACCUGUAUAUGACAGCACCAAUGAAAUGAGUUUUGUUCUUGUCGUCCAGGCUGGAGGGCAAUGGCGCGAUCUCGGCUCACUGCAACCUCCUCCUUGUGUGUUCAAGCGAUUCUCCUGCCUCCGCUUCCUGAGUAGCUGGGAUUGCAGACGCCUGCCACCACGCCCAGCUAAUGUUUGUAUUUUUAGUAGAGACGGGGUUUCACCAUGUUGACCAGGCUGGUCUCAAACUCCUGACCUCAGAUGAUCCACCUGCCUGGGCCUCCCAAAGUGCUAAGAUUACAGGUGUGAGCCACUGUGCGGGGCCACAAGUUGUUUCUUAUAUCCUAUAUAUCCUAAUAAAGAAUACAACUGCCAAGAAGACAUUUGAGGGAGAAAAUAAACAUUGACUCUUUGUAUCAUAGUUAUACUGCUUCAUCUCAAAUCCUAACAAGUUAUUAAUGUUUGUAUUUUUAGUAAACGUAACUAGAUGAAAACUACUAAAGUGGGCAAAUAAGAAAUGUUAGUUUAAAAAAAAUAGAAUGGAAGAAGAUGUUUGAAAACUAUAGCAUUUAUUAAAUAGUAAAUAUUAAAAUACAAAGUUUGAAAAUAUAGUCUAUAUGAUUAAAGAAAAAUAAUAAAGCACUAUCAAGAUACUAUCUCUUUUUUCACCCUGUUUGUUAAAUGUAUUAUAAAAAUGUGAAGUCA
rnacentral:lncRNA from 10 species